rnacentral:tRNA from 1 species
GGCUCAGUGGUCUAGUGGUUAGGCGCUCGCACACGAGAGCGAUUGGUCCUGAGUUCGAAUCUCGCGAGGC